GCCUAGUUAGCUUGGUUGGUAGCGCGUCUGCCUUGUGAGCGCUACGCCGCGGGUUCGAUUCCCGCCCGGGGCA
rnacentral:tRNA from 1 species